CGAGGCUGUAACUGUAGAGUUGCUUCAUACUUCUAAAUGGAUGUGAGAAGAUGUGAUCAUCAUAGAAUGUAACUCAAAACAAAGCAGGGGCAGACAGACGCUUGGAGAAAAUGGAAAGUGUUGUCUUUUA